rnacentral:rRNA from 1 species
AGGACGAACGCUGGCGGCGUGCUUAACACAUGCAAGUCGAGCGGUGAUCCUCCUUCGGGAGGUGAUCAGCGGCGAACGGGUGAGUAACACGUGGGCAACCUGCCCCUCACACUGGGAUAACCUCGGGAAACCGGGGCUAAUACCGGAUACGACCUCGAGCGGCAUCUCUUGAGGUGGAAAGCUCCGACGGUGAGGGAUGGGCCCGCGGCCUAUCAGCUUGUUGGUGGGGUAAUGGCCUACCAAGGCGACGACGGGUAGCCGGCCUGAGAGGGCGACCGGCCACACUGGGACUGAGACACGGCCCAGACUCCUACGGGAGGCAGCAGUGGGGAAUAUUGCGCAAUGGGCGAAAGCCUGACGCAGCGACGCCGCGUGAGGGAUGAAGGCCUUCGGGUUGUAAACCUCUUUCAGCAGGGACGAAGCGAAAGUGACGGUACCUGCAGAAGAAGCACCGGCUAACUACGCGCCAGCAGCCGC